GCCGGAUUAGCUCAGUUGGUAGAGCAGCGCACUUGUAAUGCGAAGGUCGUCAGUUCGAAUCCGACAUCCGGCA
rnacentral:tRNA from 1 species